rnacentral:rRNA from 1 species
ACACAUGCAAGUCGAGGGGCAGCGGGGAGUAGCAAUACUCCGCCGGCGACCGGCGCACGGGUGCGUAACGCGUAUGCAACCUACCUUUAACAGGGGCAUAACACUGAGAAAUUGGUACUAAUUCCCCAUAACAUUCGAGAAGGCAUCUUCUUGGGUUAAAAACUCCGGUGGUUAAAGAUGGGCAUGCGUUGUAUUAGCUAGUUGGUGAGGUAACGGCUCACCAAGGCGACGAUACAUAGGGGGACUGAGAGGUUAACCCCCCACAUUGGUACUGAGACACGGACCAAACUCCUACGGGAGGCAGCAGUGAGGAAUAUUGGUCAAUGGACGCAAGUCUGAACCAGCCAUGCCGCGUGCAGGAAGACGGCUCUAUGAGUUGUAAACUGCUUUUGUACUAGGGUAAACGCUCUUACGUGUAGGAGCCUGAAAGUAUAGUACGAAUAAGGAUCGGCUAACUCCGUGCCAGCAGCCGCGGUAAUACGGAGGAUCCAAGCGUUAUCCGGAUUUAUUGGGUUUAAAGGGUGCGUAGGCGGUUUGAUAAGUUAGAGGUGAAAUACCGGGGCUCAACUCCGGAACUGCCUCUAAUACUGUUGAACUAGAGAGUAGUUGCGGUAGGCGGAAUGUAUGGUGUAGCGGUGAAAUGCUUAGAGAUCAUACAGAACACCGAUUGCGAAGGCAGCUUACCAAACUAUAUCUGACGUUGAGGCACGAAAGCGUGGGGAGCAAACAGGAUUAGAUACCCUGGUAGUCCACGCAGUAAACGAUGAUAACUCGUUGUCGGCGAUACACAGUCGGUGACUAAGCGAAAGCGAUAAGUUAUCCACCUGGGGAGUACGUUCGCAAGAAUGAAACUCAA